GUCAUACAUCAGUAGAGGUGGGGUGGCAUGAUGGGUAAGAGUGCUUACUGAAUUCAUAUGCUGGCACUGCCACUGAUUUAGCUGGAUGUCCAUGGGAAGGACACUUUACUUCUCUAAUACCAACUUUAUUAAAUUAUUGUGAUGAUUUAGUAAGUUAGAAUAUUAAAAUGCUUAAAAUAGUGUCUGACACAUAGGAAGCAAGCGAGCAUUGAUGAUCAUUAUCUUGUUCCAACAUUCAGGUACACAGGUUCUGGAGGCAUCAUGAUGCAGUUCCAAGAAUUUCCAGAUCCCUUGCAUCUUACGUAUCCUAAAUUUGGAUGAUGAUUUCCUGCCAGAAGAUAAGAAAACUGAGACUCUUAAGAUUAAUAACAUAUUCCACAGCACCUUCAGCUCAUAAGAGAUAAAGUCAGGAUUCUAAUCUAAUUCUUAGAGCUGAAGACACUCCAAGAAGGGAAAGCAUGGAAACUUUAUGGAGACUGAGUGAUUCUAUGAAGAAGAUGCAAUUAAGUUGCGAGAAGAAGGAGUGAACAAGUUUCUAAUUCCACAGCUCAUGUUCAACAUUAUACUCAGACUAACUUUGAACAAUAUUCUGACAAAAGCAAAGAAACUUCACAUUAAAAAAUAAAGCCCUUUGCCUUUAUUUAAAAAUAAAAAG
rnacentral:lncRNA from 1 species